rnacentral:snoRNA from 1 species
GGCUAUGAUGAACAUUGUGUGCUUUGCACGCUGGAAAUUACCGACUGAGAUCACAAGUCUUUGACGACACAAAUGGCUGAUUCUGAGC